ACAAAAAUAGAAACUCUUAAAAACAUUCCCCAAGUCGUCAUUUAGGAACUAGGGUUUACUCUCUAUCUCUCAACGUUUCUCUCAAAAUCCCCAAAUCCUUAUCACUUUGACAACUAGUUCUGGUGUUUCAUCAAAAUCUAUUCUUGAUUUCAUUGUUCAAAGUGACGAUUUUUAUCAUCAAUCUCUUCACGAUUAUUCUACAAAUUAUUCAAUUUUGCUGAGUUAUUUUGGGUAAUUGUUUCCACCACCAACUAAAGUUGGAUCGAUUCUAUUGAGUUGACAUUCUGUGAUUCAACAAGCUGUUUUUAUGGCGAGGCCGUCUUUCUGAGCCAUUUUGAGAAGAAGAGCUCAUGUCUUAUUCACUUCAGCCUUCGCAUUGAGAUGAAAAGGAAUUGUUUUUUUGUGGUCUAAGGUGCUUCCAAGAGUAUUUUCUUGAAAUUCGAUGUUGCAAUGAAAAUCAUUUCAUUUGCUCAGCAAGGUGCUAGAGCUAUUUGUGUGCUGGCUGCCAAUGGCGCAAUUUCAAAUGUUACACUUGGUUAGCCAAAUUCAUCUGGUGGAACUUUGACCUAUGAGGGUCGAUUUGAAAUUCUCACCCUGACAGGAUCGUAUAUGUCUAGUGAUAACAAAAACCAGAACUGGUGGGAUGAAUGUGUCCCUCUCGGACCCUGAUGGUCGAGUUAUUGAGGUGGACUUGCUAGCAGCUAAGUUCCUUUUCUUGAUUCUUUUCUCUUCUCUUUCCAGGAGUAAGUUCGAUAGCUGGAAACAAUGCCAUUUGAAGUUGGCACAAUUUGAGUUAAAACUUGAGAGAGUUAGACAGCAGGUCCAGAAAGCUCUUUCAUGAUUCUUGUAAAAAUUAUGUUUCUUUUACUUGUCACAAGCAUAUCUAUGUGCAUGUGCAUUGAUCAUUAUGGAAUUGUUAAUUAUUAUCUCACAAGUUAAUGGAUAAUUGCAAGGACACCAAGUUUUAGGUUCAAAUGCAGGAUAAUUGUCAAUAGUUUUCUUUUUAUUUUUGCAUCAGUAGAUCUGUGUUAAGUGAUAUGAAAAUUUGCUACAUUGAACUGAUAGGAACAUGAACCCCUCACAGUUUCUUAUUUACAGAAGAACCCAAAAUAUGAUUAUGAUAAUAAAAAAAUAAUUAUUUGUUUGUCUCCCUCUAACCCUAUGGAACCUAUUUGUACAUAAUAAGAUGUAGUUCUCCUAGUCAUUGAUGAAACAAAUUCAUUUUUUGAGUGUCCCUUAUAGUGUUUUAGUUGCAGACAUGACUAUUUUGUGUUUUCUUUCAUCAUGCAAGUUCCUUAUAUGACCAAAACAUUGUUAUAUUGCAAUUUGUUUAUGAAAUAAUGUAGGUCUCACAAUUAGUUACCCAAUAUUUCUAGUUGAUUAUUAUAGUUUUUUAAGUGAAUUCACUUCAUACUUCUCACAGGUCAUGAGACAUCAGUUUACAAGUGAAGAUGCAGAUUUUGGAGACUUCAAGUUGACAAGCUAAUUAUCAUUAGCCCAGAACUAUAGACAACAAUUCAUUUUAUUUGCAAGUGACAUUAAUUUAUUUUCUUCCUGAGGGGUGUGUAAAUAAUACAGUACAAAUGGAAUGUUAAUCCUUUUUUUUUGUAA